CCUUGACUCUAGGGUUAGAUAGUUACCUGAACAGGUAACUAUAUGUAAGAAUCAUCUGAAGCCAGGGUGGUAUUAAACAUGUUUAAUACCCUACACAGCAUGGACACCAGGCAAUCCAAAUGGAGGCUGGCCAGAGAACACAUCGGCCCUGCCGAAGAGCUACCUAUGUGAGCUGUAGUAUCAGCCUCCAGUUCCUCUUUACCGUCUGUGGAUUAAAUGAUCACUUUUCAGAGUUUUCAUGUGUCAUCUCAUCAUCAAUUCCUCCAGGGUUCUGUGCCCUCCAGGUGAUGGCAGGCGCCUCUGCUUCAUACCAUUUCAUCCAGGGCUGCUUUGCACAUUGACCUUACCUGCUGUAGCACGGCUGCUUUUCCCAGCUCCACAUGGUUAUGAAUCCCAGCCUAGCACUAACGUGGAGUGCCGCGUGAAUGAACGAUGCCUUGCCCUUGUGUGAUGCAAAAGGCUGUCAGUUUGGCUCCUGAAGGCAUUUGAGCUCUUUCUUGCCCUGGAGACUCAAUGCUUUUAUGUCUGAAGGUUCAUAAGUCACAAGAUAUCUGGAAU